UGCAGGUUUACAUGCCUACAAACGCAAUCUCUACUGGGUUGCGAUGUUACCAGUAGCAGGAUCAAUGCUGACCCUGACCUGA